rnacentral:rRNA from 1 species
UCCGUAGGUGAACCUGCGGAAGGAUCAUUACCUAGAGUUGUAGGCUUUGCCUGCUAUCUCUUACCCAUGUCUUUUGAGUACCUUACGUUUCCUCGGUGGGUUCGCCCACCGAUUGGACAAAUUUAAACCCUUUGCAGUUGAAAUCAGCGUCUGAAAAAACUUAAUAGUUACAACUUUCAACAACGGAUCUCUUGGUUCUGGCAUCGAUGAAGAACGCAGCGAAAUGCGAUAAGUAGUGUGAAUUGCAGAAUUCAGUGAAUCAUCGAAUCUUUGAACGCACAUUGCGCCCCUUGGUAUUCCAUGGGGCAUGCCUGUUCGAGCGUCAUUUGUACCUUCAAGCUCUGCUUGGUGUUGGGUGUUUGUCUCCUGUAGACUCGCCUCAAAACAAUUGGCAGCCGGCGUAUUGAUUUCGGAGCGCAGUACAUCUCGCGCUUUGCACUCAUAACGACGACAUCCAAAAGUACAUUUUUACACUCUUGACCUCGGAUCAGGUAGGGAUACCCGCUGAACUUAAGCAUAUCAAUAAGCGGAGGA